rnacentral:rRNA from 1 species
UACAGGGGGUGCAAACGUUGCUCGGAAUUAUUGGGCGUAAAGCGCACGUAGGCGGUUCGUUAUGUCGGAUGUGAAAGCCCUUGGCUCAACUGAGGAAGUGCAUCCGAAACUGGCGAGCUAGAGUAUGUAAGAGGGUCGCGGAAUUCCCGGUGUAGAGGUGAAAUUCGUAGAUAUCGGGAGGAACACCGGUGGCGAAGGCGGCGACCUGGGACAAUACUGACGCUGAGGUGCGAAAGCGUGGGGAGCGAACAGG